AUCGCAUCACCGACCACGACAUUGCACCUUUCAAAGCUCAAGUUGCCAAGCUUCUGCCUCCGAGUGUUGUGCACAUGUCUUCACCAGAAGAGUGGGUUGCAGCUGUCGUUCAAGACUGGGAUAAAUCAGCGAAGCGCUUGUCACCAGAUGCUGCCCGGAGACGCUACCUGAAUGAGGCAAUGAAGUUCUCAUUGUACGGUUCCUGCUUCUUUCCCAUCAAACACUGUUCGGAUGUAAACAUUCGCGGUGAAUGCCUGAUGGCCUUCAGCAAGACAGGAGUUCAUUUCCUCAGCCACA